rnacentral:rRNA from 1 species
UGCGUAGGCGGUUUGGUAAGUCUGAUGUGAAAUCUCAGGGCUCAACUCUGAGACUGCAUCGGAAACUGCCGGGCUUGAGUAUGGGAGAGGUGAGUGGAAUUCCUGGUGUAGCGGUGAAAUGCGUAGAUAUCAGGAGGAACACCUGUGGCGAAAGCGGCUCACUGGACCAUAACUGACGCUGAUGCACGAAAGCUAGGGGAGCAAACAGGAUUAGAUACCCUGGUAGUCCUAGCCCUAAACGAUGACUGCUUGGUGUGGCGGGUACCCAAUCCCGCCGUGCCGUAGCUAACGCGUUAAGCAGUCCGCCUGGGGAGUACGGUCGCAAGGCUGAA